AGCAGAAAGAAAACGAAAUGAAAACCUAAAGCAUUUAUCAAAAUUUACUUACAGAAGGUUUCUGGAAAUCUCCCAUCCUUUCCUUUGAACAUCUCCCCUCCUGCAAUUGACCAAGCGAAAUCCUCUUUUCUUUCUUUGAAGAAAGCCAUGAACAACAACAACAAUCCUCCAAAACCCCUGUUUUUAACCAAAGCCCAACGCGAGCAAUUAGCCCUCCAACGCCUCGAAGAGCAACGCGCCCAACAGAAACGCCGCCUCGAAGACCUCCACCGCUCUCACAACAGCACCACCAACAAUGACUCCGAUUCGCCUUCUACUAAACCCUCCUACGAUUCUUCUGACCGCCGCGACCGCGAAAGACAGCGGGAGAGAGACCGGGAAUCCGAGCGAAGAAAUCGGGAACGUGAAAGGGAGCGUGAGCGGGAGGAGGAAGCCAAGUCUCGAGAGCGAGCGAGGUUGGAGAAGUUGGCGGAGAGGGAAAGGGAAAAAGAAUUGGAUGCGAUCAAAGAGCAGUACCUAGGAUCGAAAAAGCCUAAAAAGAGGGUUAUUAAACCUAGCGAGAAAUUUAGGUUUUCUUUCGAUUGGGAAAACACGGAAGAUACUUCGAGAGACAUGAAUUCUUUGUACCAAAACCCUCACGAGGCUCAGCUUCUGUUCGGACGAGGGUUUAGGGCUGGAAUGGAUCGAAGGGAGCAGAAGAAGCUAGCGGCGAAGAAUGAGAAGGAGAUGAGAGAAGAAAUUAGGAGAAAAGAAGGGGUUGAAGAGAAACCAGAGGAAGCCGCGGCACAGAGGUUAAAAGAAGAAGCAGCGAAUACUUAUGAUACAUUCGAUAUGAGAGUCGAUAAGCAUUGGUCUGAAAAGAAGCUCGAUGAAAUGACUGAAAGAGAUUGGAGGAUUUUUAGGGAAGAUUUUAAUAUUUCCUAUAAAGGGUCGAAGAUUCCACGGCCAAUGAGGAGUUGGACUGAGAGUAAAUUGAGUGCGGAGUUGUUGAAAGCUGUGGAGAGAGUUGGGUAUAAGAAGCCUUCCCCUAUACAAAUGGCUGCCAUUCCUUUGGGAUUGCAGCAAAGAGAUGUGAUUGGGAUUGCAGAGACAGGGUCAGGUAAGACUGCUGCUUUCGUUCUGCCUAUGCUGUCUUAUAUAUCUAGAUUACCUCCUAUGAGUGAAGAGAAUGAAGCUGAAGGACCUUAUGCUGUUGUCAUGGCCCCAACUCGUGAACUUGCUCAGCAAAUUGAGGAUGAAACUAUGAAGUUUGCACAUUAUUUGGGCAUUAAAGUUGUUUCAAUUGUAGGUGGUCAGUCAAUAGAGGAACAAGGGUUUAGGAUUAGACAAGGGUGUGAGGUUGUUAUUGCUACGCCUGGUCGUCUGCUGGAUUGUUUAGAGAGGCGGUAUGCUGUGUUGAACCAGUGUAAUUAUGUGGUUCUUGAUGAGGCUGAUAGGAUGAUAGAUAUGGGUUUUGAGCCGCAAGUUGUGGGUGUACUGGAUGCUAUGCCAUCUAGUAAUUUGAAACCGGAGAAUGAAGAUGAGGAGCUCGAUGAGAAAAGGAUUUAUCGUACAACUUAUAUGUUUAGUGCUACCAUGCCUCCAGCUGUGGAGCGGCUAGCUAGGAAGUAUUUGAGGAAUCCUGUUGUGGUCACCAUUGGUACUGCUGGAAAGGCUACUGAUUUAAUUUCACAACACGUGAUGAUGAUGAAGGAAUCAGAGAAGUUUAUGAGAUUGCAGAAGUUACUUGAUGAUCUCGGGGAUAAGACGGCAAUUGUGUUUGUCAAUACUAAGAAGAAUGCUGAUACUAUUUCCAAGAAUCUGGAUAAGGCUGGUUAUAAAGUAACAACUUUGCAUGGUGGAAGGUCGCAGGAGCAGAGGGAAAUUAGCCUUGAGGGUUUUAGGGCCAAGAGAUACAAUGUCCUUGUUGCUACUGAUGUUGCAGGACGUGGAAUUGAUAUUCCUGACGUGGCUCAUGUAAUUAACUAUGAUAUGCCUGGUAAUAUUGAAAUGUACACACAUCGUAUUGGAAGAACUGGGCGUGCAGGGAAGACUGGUGUGGCCACAACAUUUUUAACUCUCCAUGACACUGAUGUUUUCUUUGAUCUCAAGCAGAUGCUUGUUCAAAGCGGCAGCCCUGUUCCUCAUGAGCUGGCAAAGCAUGAAGCGUCUAAGUUCAAACCAGGAACGAUUCCUGAUAGGCCUCCUAGACGCAAUGACACUGUUUUUGCUCAUUGAGAAACGCAGGUUUUUAUUGGCACAUAAAAAUUGAAGAUCCAAUCUGCAUAUCUGUACUAUGAUAUUUUAGUUGCCAAAGUGUUGAACAUUGCUGCAGACAAGUAAUUGCAUUUGCGCUACAAUUGUAGAAUUUGAAAGUGGUAUACUGUUAAUACUCGAGCUACGAAAAACUCUACAAAAUGGUCUUUAGCAUGAAGAGUUGGGUGUGCUUUGUCAUUGGUUGUUGGCACAUUAUCAUACCAUGGCCGUUCACGUUAAUUUGUUCUCUUGCCGUACAUGGAUGCAUCUUCUGAUAUCCUAUAAUUAAAUUUUGGUAAUGAACUGUCAACAUUACCGGUUCGCUGCCACAUGUC